rnacentral:rRNA from 1 species
GAUGAACGCUGGCGGCGUGCCUUAUACAUGCAAGUCGAGUGGGUUUAGACCCACGGCAAACGGGUGAGUAACACGUAGGUACUUUCCUUGUCACAGGAAUAACCCUCCGAAAGGAGGGCUAAUACCUGAUGUGAUCGCAAGAUUAAAGGGUAUCCGCAAGGAUUACCGGACAAGAAGAGGCCUGCGGCCUAUCAGCUAGUUGGCGGGGUAAAUGCCCACCAAGGCUAUGACGGGUAGCUGGUCUUAUGAGGAUGAUCAGUCACAUGGGCACUGAGACACGGGCCCAACUCCUACGGGAGGCAGCAGUAGGGAAUUUUGCGCAAUGGGCGAAAGCCUGACGCAGCGACGCCGCGUGCGGGAUGAAGGCCUUCGGGUCGUAAACCGCUUUUAUAAGGGACGAACUUUGACGGUACCUUAUGAAUAAGGGGUUGCUAACUCUGUG